UACGUAGGGGGCUAGCGUUGUUCGGAAUCACUGGGCGUAAAGCGCACGUAGGCGGUUUUUUAAGUCAGGGGUGAAAUCCCGAGGCUCAACCUCGGAACUGCCUUUGAUACUGGAGAUCUUGAGUCCGGAAGAGGUAAGUGGAACUGCGAGUGUAGAGGUGAAAUUCGUAGAUAUUCGCAAGAACACCAGUGGCGAAGGCGGCUUACUGGUCCGGAACUGACGCUGAGGUGCGAAAGCGUGGGGAGCAAACAGG
rnacentral:rRNA from 1 species